rnacentral:SRP_RNA from 10 species
CAAGCAAUUCUCCUGCCUCGGCCUCCCGAGUAGCUGGGACUACAGGCGCUCCCCACUACGCCCAGACUAAUUUUGGUAUUUUUAGUAGAGACAGGGUUUCACUGUGUUGGCCAGGCUGGUCUCGAACUCCUGACCUCAGGUGAUCCGCCCGUCGCGGCCUCCGGGAUUACAGGCGUGAGCCACCGCGCCCGGCCUCCGCGCUCCAUUCCUGUGGGUCCAGUUUCCACCUCCUCGAAACCCAGCAGGGUCCUCCCCAGCCCUGAAGGGCUAGACGAGCCCGGAGGCGGACUGCGGUGGCGUGGCGUGGCGUGGGCGGAGCUUGGAGCCGGAGGCGGGGUGUGGGCGGGGCUGAGAGGCGGGGUGCGGCCUCGGCGUGGGCGGGGCCUGUGUGUGGCGGGCGCGCUGCGGAAACAAGCCUGCAGUCCCGCGGGCCUGGUCCCAGGCUGCUUGGGUUGUGCGGGUACCUGGUCCCCCAGGGCGGAGCCGCAGCGCUCCUGGUCUGCGGGACGUGGCCCUGUAGCUGGAACCUGGCGCAACUCAGAGAGCUGUCCUCGCAGAGGCGCUGGUCCCAGACCUGCGGCUCCUACCCCGGCCGGCGCUGGCUGGAGGCUUUAGGUUCAUUCUUGUAAGUGUUGCUGGUGUCAGAAUAGGAACCUCCCUGCGCUUUGAAGGGAUGAAUGUGACCUCUCCCACAUUCUCCGGUGCUGUGAUGUACCUUAAACACAGCAAGGUACUUGGACACAAAGCCUGUGCCUGGAGCCCUUAUGCACUUUCAGACAGACAGUGCAUGGCCCUCGCUACAGACUCAGUGCCAUUGUAGAUGUUUCUGCAUGGAAAAUACAUAAACACAAAUAUCUGCAGUUGCCAAUCCACCACCAUCUUGCAGCCCCAAGAGAGCCCCGGGAAUCCAGGUUCCUUUGGUAUUUCUGCUCCCUGCCCUUGGUGCAUAGCCUCCAUCCCCAGGACGACAAGAGGGCUGACUGAGCCCUAACAUCAUCCCACAGUCCAGCUGGGAAGAGAGCCAGCGACAAAGCCAGAGGGAGCUAGCUCCCACACCUCCCAGCCCCAGCUGAGUUCGCUUCUUGAGGGUAUUUUCUGGAAGCCCCGCCUGUGACUUCUGCUGACACCUCACUGGCCAUCUCAACUGCAAGGCAGCCUAGGAAAUGUAGUGCUUACCUGUACACGUGGAUUCCUGGAAUCAAUUCAGGGUCUGUCCUUGGGGAACCAGAGUGGGGAUAUUCAGUCACCAAAGAUGCAGGUUCCCAGCUGUCCAGUGAAGUGACACCUGGCCUGGGUGGAGCCCACUCCUCAGCACCCACCUCACUUCUGGCAGUAUUCUGCAGACCCCAGCCCUGUGCCUGUGCUCCUGCACAGCUGGAGAUAAGGAGUGGGCCCUGGAAGAUGCUCAGUCAGGCCCUGCUCCAGAUUUUAGUUUCGCGGAUAAGCACCACUAUGUGUCUCUGCUCUUUUUGUUUUGCUGUAAAGACACAUUGAUAGGUUAAAAUUGUUGUUUGUGCACAACACGGAUCAUGUAGCGUCUUCACAUUAACCCCUAGUUACACUCUCUAAGUUGUCUAUUUUCUUCCCCCAAUAUUUUUAUUGUUAUAAAAAUACACCGAAUAUAAAAACCUUAACCAGGCCAGCCGCAGUGGUUCACACCUGUAAUCCCAGCACUUUGGGAGGCCAAGACGGGUGGAUCACUUGAGGUCAGGAGUUUGAGACCAGCCUAACCAACAUGGCGAAACCCCGUCUCUACUAAAAAUACAAAAGUUAGCGGCGCAUAGUGGCGCCUG